rnacentral:rRNA from 1 species
CCUACGGGUGGCUGCAGUGGGGAAUAUUGCACAAUGGGGGAAACCCUGAUGCAGCGACGCCGCGUGAGUGAAGAAGGAUCUCGGGACGUACAGCUCUAUCAGCAGGGAAGAGAAUGACGGUACCUGACCAAGAAGCCCCGGCUAACGACGUGCCAGCAGCCGCGGUAAUACGUAGGGGGCAAGCGUUAGCCGGAUUGACGGGGGGGAACGGGCGCGUAGCCGGCAGCCCCAGUGUGGCGUGACAUCCCGGGGCUGAACCCCGGAACUGCUUUUGCAACUGUGCGGCUGGAGUGCAGGAGGGGUAAGCGUAAUUCCUCGUGUAGCGGUGAACUGCGUCUAUAUUAGGCGGAACACCGGUGGCGAAGGCGGCUUACUGGACUGUAACUGCCGUUGAGGCUCGAAAGCGUGGGGAGCACACAGGAUUAGAUACCCCUGUAGUC